UAGUGAAAUUUGAGUCGGUUC
ensembl:piRNA 21ur-2435 ncRNA